AGUGAACGCUGGCGGUAGGCCUAACACAUGCAAGUCGAACGGCAGCACAGUAAGAGCUUGCUCUUACGGGUGGCGAGUGGCGGACGGGUGAGGAAUACAUCGGAAUCUACUUUUUCGUGGGGGAUAACGUAGGGAAACUUACGCUAAUACCGCAUACGACCUACGGGUGAAAGCAGGGGAUCUUCGGACCUUGCGCGAUUGAAUGAGCCGAUGUCGGAUUAGCUAGUUGGCGGGGUAAAGGCCCACCAAGGCGACGAUCCGUAGCUGGUCUGAGGGGAUGAUCAGCCACACUGGAACUGAGACACGGUCCAGACUCCUACGGGAGGCAGCAGUGGGGAAUAUUGGACAAUGGGCGCAAGCCUGAUCCAGCCAUACCGCGUGGGUGAAGAAGGCCUUCGGGUUGUAAAGCCCUUUUGUUGGGAAAGAAAAGCAGCAGGAUAAUACCCCGCUGUUCUGACGGUACCCAAAGAAUAAGCACCGGCUAACUUCGUG
rnacentral:rRNA from 1 species